rnacentral:rRNA from 1 species
ACACGCGUAUCCGAAUGACUCUCGGCAACGGAUAUCUCGGCUCUUGCAUCGAUGAAGAACGUAGCGAAAUGCGAUACUUGGUGUGAAUUGCAGAAUCCCGUGAACCAUCGAGUCUUUGAACGCAAGUUGCGCCCAAAGCCAUUAGGCUGAGGGCACGCC